CCUACGGGAGGCAGCAGUGGGGAAUCUUGCGCAAUGGGCGAAAGCCUGACGCAGCAACGCCGCGUGCGGGAAGAAGGCCUUCGGGUUGUAAACCGCUUUCAGCAGGAACGAAAAUGACGGUACCUGCAGAAGAAGGAGCGGCCAACUACGUGCCAGCAGCCGCGGUGACACGUAGGCUCCAAGCGUUGUCCGGAUUUAUUGGGCGUAAAGAGCUCGUAGGCGGUUCAGUAAGUCGGGUGUGAAAACUCUGGGCUCAACCCAGAGCCUGCAUUCGAAACUGCUGUGACUAGAGUUUGGUAGGGGAGCGGGGAAUUCCUAGUGUAGCGGUGAAAUGCGCAGAUAUUAGGAGGAACACCGGUGGCGAAAGCGCCGCUCUGGGCCAAUACUGACGCUGAGGAGCGAAAGCGUGGGUAGCAAACAGGAUUAGAUACCCUGGUAGUCCACGCCGUAAACGAUGGGCACUAGGUGUGGGUUUCAACUAACGAAAUCCGUGCCGUCGCUAACGCAUUAAGUGCCCCGCCUGGGGAGGUACGGUCGCGAGAACGAAACUAACAAAGAAGUAGUAGUAACGUGUGAGNGUCGACGACGACGACGAGGAGGAGGAG
rnacentral:rRNA from 1 species